ensembl:lncRNA
GAGGACGAUGUCAGCAUCUCAGCCUUGCCCUGCAGGUACCACACAGGAACAGGGUGACGGGGUGUCUGGGGGGCGGGCUACACAUAUGAAUUAACGUGUGGCUGCUGACGGCACCUGGCCCCAUCCCACCUGCCCACCACCGGAGCCCUCUCCCAUAAUUACCCGAGGCAGGCGGCUGCUGGGAGCUGCGGCUCGCUCGAGUCUGUCCGACCGCCUGCGCAGACGUCCUGAGGACUGCUGCGUUAUUCCGAUUGUGUGCACGUCAAAUAAUUUGGCGAGUGUCGGCCUGACAACAGCGGCUGCUGCCUAGUGGGUCUCCUCAGCCGCGGGACCGACUGACUGACAGGCAGCUGAGAGGACGGAUUGGAUCCCAUCCUUUGCCGUGCUCCCCCUCUCUGCCUCUCCCCCUGCGUCUGUCUCAUCACUUCCUUCUCACUCGUUUGCGGCUGAGAGAUGCGUAUCGCCGCUGUCGGUCACGGCCCGUGGCCCCCCUCCGCAACGCUGACAUGGACACAGAAAAGACACGCAAAGGCAAAAACCAGACGUCCACAGUGGGGUCGGCAGUCUGACAAUCAGCACUUUCAGCUCUAAAAGCCAUCCGGUGUUCAUGGAUGCUCGAAACCACACGCAGGACAAUCCACCCACGACGCUGUCAAAGCAAAGCAAGCCCCAAAACAAGAAUCUGCAAAAGGUGGAUGUUUUUACGUUAAUCGUAUUUUCACUGUAACCAGGUUUUGCUCAGGGCCUGGUGUGUCCCUCUGAUGGUUUUAACCAUUUACAAACCUUUAUAAACUUUAAACACCAAGUCUUUUAUUUGAAACCAACCCGGGACACACAAACGUGAUGAAUUUAACAGUAAAUUUAAAAAAGAAAGUUUCACUCCCUUUAUCUUAUUUGAAUUUAUUCAAGGUGUGAGUUUGAUGAUGCUAAAUAAUAAAAAUAAAAAGCCUCUGAUCAAAUUACGUCUGGAUUAUUUCAAAGUUAGAGAGGAGAAGCCAUGUAUGUGACAAAUUGCCGCAAAAUCUACUUUUAGUUUCAGAAAAUAAUAUUACUAGUGUGAGGUCAGAGCAGACGACACUUCAGGCUCCGACAGGUGUCAGGUGCGUUUUCAACCCGGCUCAGCCACGUUCAAACGACCUCUCGGCAUCGCUAACGGCUCCUUUCAAAAUGACCGC